rnacentral:rRNA from 1 species
ACUAUUGCUAGCCCAAACACACUUAAUCUAAACUAUAUCCCAAAAACUAAAUUAAAACAUUCAGCAUUAUAAAAGUAUAGGAGAUAGAAAUUUUUAUCUGGAGCUAUAGAGAAAGUACCGUAAGGGAAAGAUGAAAGAACUAAAUUAAGUACAAAAAAGCAAAGCUUAACCCUUUUACCUUUUGCAUAAUGAAUUAACUAGAAAAACUAUAACUAAAAGAAUUUUAGCUAUAAAUCCCGAAACCAAACGAGCUACCUAAGAACAAUUUUUUGAAUGCACCCGUCUAUGUGGCAAAAUAGUGGGAAGAUUUUUAGGUAGAGGUGAAAAGCCUACCGAGCUUGGUGAUAGCUGGUUACCCAAUAAAUGAAUUUCAGUUCAACUUUAAAUUUACCUAAAGAAAAUUUAAUCAGAAUGUAAAUUUAAAAUAUAGUCUAAAGAGGGACAGCUCUUCAGAUAAAGGAAACAACCUUAACUAGAGAAUAAAUACAAAAUUAUCCAUAGUUGGCCUAAAAGCAGCCACCAAUUAAGAAAGCGUUCAAGCUCAACAUUCAACUAAUUUUAAUACCAAAAAUAAAAAUGAAUUCCUAGAAAUAUAUUGGGUCAAUCUAUAAGAUUAUAGAUGAGACACUGUUAAUAUGAGUAACAAGAAUUAUUUCUCCUAGCACAAGCUUAUAACAACCCGGAUAACCAUUGUUAGUUAACAAUUAGUAGAAACAAACCAAAUAUUUACCUCCUACUUUACCCAUUGUUAUUCCAACACAGGUGUGCAUUAAGGAAAGAUUAAAAGGAAUAAAAGGAACUCGGCAAACAUUAACCCCGCCUGUUUACCAAAAACAUCACCUCUAGCAUUACAAGUAUUAGAGGCACCGCCUGCCCAGUGACUAACGUUAAACGGCCGCGGUAUCCUAACCGUGCAAAGGUAGCAUAAUCAUUUGUUCCUUAAUUAGGGACUAGUAUGAAUGGCUUAACGAGGGUUUAACUGUCUCUUAUUCCCAAUCAGUGAAAUUGACCUACCCGUGAAGAGGCGGGGAUACAACAAAAAAAAGAGAAGACCCCAUGGAGGUUCAAUUUAAUUAACCCGUGCAAAGGUAGCAUAAUCAUUUGUUCCUUAAUUAGGGACUAGUAUGAAUGGCUUAACGAGGGUUUAACUGUCUCUUAUUCCCAAUCAGUGAAAUUGACCUACCCGUGAAGAGGCGGGUAUACAACAAUAAGACGAGAAGACCCUAUGGAGCUUCAAUUUAAUUAGCUUACUUAAUUUCACAACCACCCUAAUGGAUUAAAAGAAAUGAAGCUAGGCUAAAAAUUUCGGUUGGGGUGACCUCGGAGAAAAAAAAAUCCUCCGAAUAACAAAACCAAGACACACAAGUCAAAGUAUUAAUUAUGUUAACCAAUUGAUCCAAACAAUGUUUGAUCAACGGAACAAGUUACCCUAGGGAUAACAGCGCAAUCCUAUUCUAGAGUCCCUAUCGACAAUAGGGUUUACGACCUCGAUGUUGGAUCAGGACAUCCCAAUGGUGCAGCCGCUAUUAAUGGUUCGUUUGUUCAACGAUUAAAGUCCUACGUGAUCUGAGUUCAGACCGGAGUAAUCCAGGUCGGUUUCUAUCUAUUAACAAUUUCUACCAGUACGAAAGGACAAGAGAAAUAGAGCCAACUUAACUCAAGCGCCCUAAAAUUAAUGAAUGAAAUUAUCUCAAUUCAAACCUCAUGUACAAACUUUACCCGAGACCAGGGUUGAUU